rnacentral:rRNA from 1 species
UGCUGGCGCAGCUACACAUGCAGUCGAGCGGAAACAGAAGAGUAGCUUGCUACUUUGGUGACGAGCGGCGGACGGGUGAGUAAUGCUUGGGAACAUGCCUUGAGGUGGGGGACAACAGUUGGAAACGACUGCUAAUACCGCAUAAUGUCUACGGACCAAAGGGGGCUUCGGCUCUCGCCUUUAGAUUGGCCCAAGUGGGAUUAGCUAGUUGGUGAGGUAAUGGCUCACCAAGGCGACGAUCCCUAGCUGGUUUGAGAGGAUGAUCAGCCACACUGGGACUGAGACACGGCCCAGACUCCUACGGGAGGCAGCAGUGGGGAAUAUUGCACAAUGGGCGCAAGCCUGAUGCAGCCAUGCCGCGUGUGUGAAGAAGGCCUUCGGGUUGUAAAGCACUUUCAGUCAGGAGGAAAGGUUAGUAGUUAAUACCUGCUAGCUGUGACGUUACUGACAGAAGAAGCACCGGCUAACUCCGUGCCAGCAGCCGCGGUAAUACGGAGGGUGCGAGCGUUAAUCGGAAUUACUGGGCGUAAAGCGUACGCAGGCGGUUUGUUAAGCGAGAUGUGAAAGCCCCGGGCUCAACCUGGGAACUGCAUUUCGAACUGGCAAACUAGAGUGUGAUAGAGGGUGGUAGAAUUUCAGGUGUAGCGGUGAAAUGCGUAGAGAUCUGAAGGAAUACCGAUGGCGAAGGCAGCCACCUGGGUCAACACUGACGCUCAUGUACGAAAGCGUGGGGAGCAAACAGGAUUAGUCCCCC